AAAUAAUGGAUGUUUAUUUAUUUUACAUAAUGAAUAUUGUCUCUUUAAUGAGUGAAAAGCAAAAUAUACUUCCACACGUGCAGUUCCCCGUCGUGAAUGGUAAGGGUGAUUCAGGAGUUGGAGGAGCCUUCAUGAAAAUGAACAUAAAGCCAUCAGAAGCCUCGGACUGCGGUGAAUAAUUGAUGCAGUUCAUCACGAAGGGAUGCGAGGGUAUGCUGCUACACUUCAGCCAUUUGGACUCAUCCGAAGGCACAGAGAAGUCGGACUUUGCAAAGGCCCCAAAACAUUCCAGGAAGGAUAUCGUAUUUACGAAGAAUGUACUCGAUAAGUGUUCCUGUCCCUGUUCCUGACGAUCGGAAACUCAGUCAGAGACGGUUGGCAUCAACUUAGAAAGCCGUCGAUUCCGGGAGCGGUUUCAGGAACAGCUGCUGUGUCUGUUGUGUCCCUGCUUUGUCCACUUACUUCCCGUCAUUCGUUCGGCGGGUUACUUAAUACCAUGGAAUAUGAUCCGGUAAAGCAGAGAGGCGAGGAAAAUACAAGUUGCAGUUAUUUCCCUUUAUAUAAUCAGUAAAAAUAACAUGAUGUGUUUCGCGAAAAUAUUUCUCUUGGUAAUGAGUAAAAAGUACCCCUGAAUUUGACGUAUAGGCUUCUUACUCAUUAAUGAGUAAACGCUGUUUACUCUUUUAAUAAGUUGAACUAUUUAACUUCAUACUGGGUACUUUUUUACUCAUUAAAGAGUA